rnacentral:SRP_RNA from 1 species
GCCGGGCGCGGUGGCGCGUGCCUGUAGUCCCAGCCACUCGGGAGGCUAAGGGGGUGGAUUGCUUGAGUCCAGGAGUUCUGGGCUGUAGUGCGCUAUGCCGAUCGGGUGUCUGCACUAAGUUCGGCAUCAAUAUGGUGACCUCUCGGGAGCAGGGGACCACCAGGUUGCCUAAGGAGGGUGAACCGGUCCAGGACGGAAAUGGAGCAGGUCAAAACUCCUGUGCUGAUUGUAGUGGGAUUGUGCCUGUGAAUAGCCACUGCACUCCAGCCUGGGCAACAUAGUGAGACCCUGUCUCU